AAAAUCAAAAAGUCUGAAUCUGUGAUCUAGUGUGUUUAUGAAAAGAACUAAGAUAUUCACAACUAAACUUAAGAACUUCAUCAAGUCUUUGAAGCUAUCCUUUCUUGCUGCAGUUUCCCUACUACUAUUAUUUCCAAAUGUUUCUGGAGCUUCUGAAGGUGGUACUACUCUUAGUGCCUUAUUUCCUUUCUUUUAAUGCCCUCUAAUCUUAAAUGUUCACAGUCUUCUACUGCUCUCUCCUAGAAAUUCUGCAAAACUUCCUUUAAACUUUGCUGCCUCUACUUUCUUUCUGAGAGGCUACUGGCAAUUUGUCAUCAAGCUAUAAAGUCCAUCUGACACUCUCUAUUCCAGUACUUGCACAUCAUGUUGCAACCCAGUAACUUCAAUGUUUUUUUUCAGGUAGGUGUCUGUGUCCAAUUUAAAUUCUACCUCCCCUAUAGGAGCUGCCCUAAGCUUUCACACCUGUACAAGAGACAUUUUCUCAUUUAACCUUGACGCAUAUCCUUUUGUUUAGGUAGAACAACACAAUCUGGAGAUUUGAUGAUUUGAUCACUCCAAUGAAAUUCAGCCAAGGGGAGUUGGACUUGGAUCAAGAAUAUCAAGAAUCCGGGAAAACUACUUAAAUCUGAUUUCAUGAUUUCAGAUGUACCUUCAUUUCCUGUAGCACUGCCAUUUGUGGUGAUGAUACUUCUGAACACAGAAGUUCUUCCAGUGGCAGUAAAGCUGUUGCAAUUUCAUAUCUUGGGGGGGGGAGAGGGUGUCUUCUAGUGUCAGUAAAGCUGGUAGUACUUCAGGUGAUACCAUCCCUAUCUCGUAUGUCAGUCCCUUCUCCACUAUCAAUCUUUAUGACACGUGCUGGGAGCAUCUUAUUACUGCCACUAAAAUCUCUCAUGUCUAGGCCUACUUCUUCAGGAAAGUGACACAUGAUGCUUUAGCAACU